AUUUCUUCUCCUCCGGGAGAAAUCAACCGAUGGUAGAUGUUAACCAAGUCUGUAGAAUAUCUACUCAGCAGCAUCUAGUGCUGGAGUUAAAUAGCUGGGUGCUAUGGUCCAGCCAAGGUGCCGCCUGAAACACCCUCACAUGGUGGGAAGAGCGGUGGUUGAAGAAGGAACCCUGGAGACCUUGAUGUUGAAGAGAGGGCAAGGGAAGAGGGCUAAGGACAAGAAAAGAGCCAUUGGAGAGAGAAAGAGAUGAAGUGGAAGACAGUGAGUGAGGGGCUGGCAGAAGGAUUUCCCCUCUUCAAACUAGAGGAGAACUUCCUCAGCCUCCAUGCAGCCGGCCAGAUCCUAGGGCAAAGCUCUGGCUAGAGAAGGCAAGGACAGGCAAGAAAAUGUUUUAGAAAAAGACCCUUUCCAUCUGGAAUGCUUUUUCCAACUCCCUUCACACCUUCAGGCUGGCUUCUAGUUGCACCAGGAACUCUGGGCCCACGUGUGAGGUGCGGGGGCAACACUGUCCAUCGAGAGGACCUGUGGCUGCCUCCUCAUCCCUUCCACCAAGCGCAGGAUGGCACCAUUGCUGGCUUCUGCUGCCCUCUGUUGUGGUCCUGUACCUCCUCACCUGCUCAGAUGCUCCGCGGGGACUGAUGGAGCUCUUCCUGGUCUCCAGUGGUUCUUACUGGGUAGUGCUGGACAACAGAGUACCAGGAAGGCAGGGACCUGGCCAAGCGCACAUACGCAUGAGUGGAGGAAAUUUUACAAUUUUUAGGAAGCAACAAAGUAUAAAGUGG
rnacentral:lncRNA from 10 species